rnacentral:rRNA from 1 species
GGCACUAAGUUAGCUCUCUGGGCUUUCCUCACUCCCUGUAUUGUUGCUUCGGUGGUUAGGGUCUCCCUGACCCUCCCGGCCUCCCGCCCCCGGGCGGGGCGGCCCCCCCCGGAGGAUAACCCAACUCUGAUUUUCUGACGUUUCUUCUGAGUGGUACAAGCUAAUAAUCAAAACUUUUAACAACGGAUAUCUUGGUUCUGGCGUCUAUGAAAAACGCACCGAAAUGCGAUAAGUAAUGUGAAUUGCGCAAAUCUCUGAAUCAUCUAAUCUUUGAACGCACAUUGUGCCCGCCCUGAUUCUGGCGGGGGUGCCUGUGCCAGAGCGACUUCGACCCUCAAGCUCUGCUUGGGGUUGGGGCCCUACACCUGAUGUACGCCCUCGAAGGUAGUGGCGGACCCUCCCGGAGCCUCCUUUGCUCAUUAACUUUACGUCUCGCACUGGGAUCCUGAGGGACUCUUGCCGGAAAACCCCCAAUUUUCCACAGGUUGACCUCCGAUCAGGUAUGAAAACCCGCUGAACUUAAGCAUAACCAUAGCGUAGGAAGAGGAAGAGGAA